CCUACGGGCGGCAGCAGUGAGGAAUAUUGGUCAAUGGACGAGAGUCUGAACCAGCCAAGUAGCGUGAAGGAUGACUGCCCUAUGGGUUGUAAACUUCUUUUAUAUGGGAAUAAAACGUUCCACGUGUGGGAUUUUGUAUGUACCAUAUGAAUAAGGAUCGGCUAACUCCGUGCCAGCAGCCGCGGUAAUACGGAGGAUCCGAGCGUUAUCCGGAUUUAUUGGGUUUAAAGGGAGCGUAGGUGGAUUGUUAAGUCAGUUGUGAAAGUUUGCGGCUCAACCGUAAAAUUGCAGUUGAAACUGGCAGUCUUGAGUACAGUAGAGGUGGGCGGAAUUCGUAGUGUAGCGGUGAAAUGCUUAGAUAUCACGAAGAACUCCGAUUGCGAAGGCAGUUCACUGGACUGCAACUGACACUGAGGCUCGAAAGUGUGGGUAUCAAACAGGAUUAGAUACCCUUGUAGUC
rnacentral:rRNA from 1 species